rnacentral:rRNA from 1 species
UACAGAGGGUGCGAGCGUUAAUCGGAAUUACUGGGCGUAAAGCGCACGUAGGUGGCGAAGUAAGUCUGAUGUGAAAGCCCUGGGCUCAACCUGGGAAUGGCAUUGGAAACUGGCAACCUAGAGUGCGGUAGAGGGUAGUGGAAUUCCCGGUGUAGCAGUGAAAUGCGUAGAGAUCGGGAGGAACAUCUGUGGCGAAGGCGACUGCCUGGACCAGCACUGACACUGAGGCACGAAAGCGUGGGGAGCAAACAGG